AUUGAACGCUGGCGGCAUGCCUUACACAUGCAAGUCGAACGGUAACAGGUCUUCGGAUGCUGACGAGUGGCGAACGGGUGAGUAAUACAUCGGAACGUGCCUAGUAGUGGGGGAUAACUACUCGAAAGAGUGGCUAAUACCGCAUGAGAUCUACGGAUGAAAGCAGGGGAUCGCAAGACCUUGUGCUACUAGAGCGGCCGAUGGCAGAUUAGGUAGUUGGUGGGAUAAGAGCUUACCAAGCCGACGAUCUGUAGCUGGUCUGAGAGGACGAUCAGCCACACUGGGACUGAGACACGGCCCAGACUCCUACGGGAGGCAGCAGUGGGGAAUUUUGGACAAUGGGCGCAAGCCUGAUCCAGCAAUGCCGCGUGCAGGAUGAAGGCCUUCGGGUUGUAAACUGCUUUUGUACGGAACGAAAAGCCCCGGGUUAAUACCCUGGGGUCAUGACGGUACCGUAAGAAUUAGCACCGGCUAACUACGUGCCAGCAGCCGCAGUAA
rnacentral:rRNA from 1 species